GUGCUCCCUUCAGCAGCACAUAUACUAAAACUGGAACGAUACAGAGAAGAUUAGCAUGGCCCUUGUGCAUGGAUGACACACAAAUUCAUGAAGCGUUCCAUAUUUUU
ensembl:snRNA U6 U6 spliceosomal RNA